rnacentral:lncRNA from 1 species
GAUGAUGAGGUGGUUCUACAGUGCACCGCAACCAUCCACAAAGAGCAGCAGAAGCUGUGCUUGGCAGCAGAAGGAUUUGGCAACAGACUUUGCUUUUUGGAGUCUACUUCCAAUUCUAAGAAUGUCCCCCCGGACCUGUCCAUCUGCACCUUUGUGCUGGAGCAGUCCCUGUCAGUACGGGCCCUGCAGGAGAUGCUAGCCAACACAGUGGAAAAGUCAGAAGGGGUUGAUGUGGAAAAAUGGAGACUGCUCAAGGUGGAGGCCACCGGACACUCCUCUAUGGACACGCCAUACUACUACGCCAUUCC